CCUACGGGUGGCUGCAGUGGGGAAUAUUGCACAAUGGGGGAAACCCUGAUGCAGCGACGCCGCGUGAGUGAAGAAGGACCUCGGUAUUUAAAGCCCUAUCAGCAGGGGAGAAAAGGACGUUACCUGAGUCAGUAGCCGCGUCUAACUACGGACCAGCAGCCGCGGUAAUACGUAGGGGGCCGGCGUUAUCCGGAUUUACUGGGUGUAAAGGGGGCGUAGACGGCAAUGCAAGUUUGGAGUGAAAGGUUGGGGGCCAAACCCCGGAGUGCCCUGGAAACUGUAGGGCUGGAGUGAAGGAGAGGUAAGUGGAAUUCGUGGUGUAGCGGUGAAAUGCGUAGAUAUUAGGAGGAACACCAGUGGCGAAGGCAGCAUACUGG
rnacentral:rRNA from 1 species